CCAACAGGGAUUGCCUCAGUAACGGCGAGUGAAGCGGCAACAGCUCAAAUUUGAAAUCUGGCCCCCCCGGCCCGAGUUGUAAUUUGCAGAGGAUGCUUCUGGCGCGGUGCCUUCCAAGUCCCCUGGAACGGGGCGCCAUAGAGGGUGAGAGCCCCGUCGGGUCGGCCGCCAAGCCUGUGUGAAGCUCCUUCGACGAGUCGAGUAGUUUGGGAAUGCUGCUCUAAAUGGGAGGUAGACCCCUUCUAAAGCUAAAUACCGGCCAGAGACCGAUAGCGCACAAGUAGAGUGAUCGAAAGAUGAAAAGCACUUUGAAAAGAGGGUUAAACAGUACGUGAAAUUGUUGAAAGGGAAGCGCUUGUGACCAGACGUGCGCCGGGUGUUCAGCGGGCGUUUUCGCCCGUGCAUUCGCCCCGGCGCAGGCCAGCGUCGGUUUGGGCGGGGGGACAAAGGUGCCAGGAACGUAGCUCCCCCGGGAGUGUUAUAGCCUGGUGCGUCAUGCCCCCGCCUGGACCGAGGUUCGCGCUCCGCAAGGACGCUGGCGUAAUGGUCCCCAGCGGCCCGUCUUGAAACACGGACCAAGGAGUCGAGGUUUUACGCGAGUGUCUGGGUGUCAAACCCGCACGCGUAAUGAAAGUGAACGUAGGUGGGAGCUUCGGCGCACCACCGACCGAUCCUGAUGUUUUCGGAUGGAUUUGAGUAGGAGCGUAGGGCCUCGGACCCGAAAGAUGGUGAACUAUACUUGGAUAGGGUGAAGCCAGAGGAAACUCUGGUGGAGGCUCGCAGCGGUUCUGACGUGCAAAUCGAUCGUCAAAUCUGAGUAUGGGGGGCGAAAGACUAAUCGAACCAU
rnacentral:rRNA from 1 species